UACAGAGGAGCCAAGCGUUGUCCGGAUUGACUGGGGCGUAAAGCGCACGCAGGCGGUUGCGCGCGUGGGGGUGUGAAAUCUGGCCGCUUAACGGCCCAGGCGCCCAUCCCCAUACGGCGCGACUGGAGUGAUGCAGAGGUCGAUGGAAUUGCCCGGUGUAGUGGGUGAAAUGCGUAGAGAUCGGCAGGGAACACCCCAGGGGGGAAACCAGUCGACUGGGGCAUCUACUGACGCUGAGGUGCGAGAGCGUGGGGGAGCGAACCGG
rnacentral:rRNA from 1 species